AGCGAAUAGAUACCCAGGUAGUCCAUGCUGUAAACGAUGAGAACUAGAUGUUAGGGGCAUGACCUCUUAGUAUCGAAGCUAACGCGAUAAGUUCUCCGCCUGGGGAGUACGGCCGCAAGGUUAAAACUCAAAGAAAUUGACGGGGGCCCGCACAAGCGGUGGAGCAUGUGGUUUAAUUCGAUGCAACGCGAAGAACCUUACCUACCUUUGAAUCCACGGAACCUAGCAGAGAUGUUGGGGUGCCUUCGGGAGCCGUGAGACAGGUGCUGCAUGGCUGUCGUCAGCUCGUGUCGUGAGAUGUUGGGUUAAGUCCCGUAACGAGCGCAACCCUUGUCCUUAGUCGCCAUCAGGUUAUGCUGGGCACUUUAAGGAGACUGCCGGUGAUAAACCGGAGGAAGGUGGGGAUGACGUCAAGUCCUCAUGGCCCCUUACAGGUAGGGCUACACACGUGCUACAAUGGGCAGUACAGAGGGAAGCCAACCCGCGAGGGGAGCGAAUCUCAUAAAGCUGUUCGUAGUCCGGAUUGGAGUCUGCAAC
rnacentral:rRNA from 1 species